rnacentral:rRNA from 2 species
ACUGAUUGAUGGUGCUUGCACCUGAUUGACGAUGGAUCACCAGUGAGUGGCGGACGGGUGAGUAACACGUAGGUAACCUGCCCCGGAGCGGGGGAUAACAUUUGGAAACAGAUGCUAAUACCGCAUAACAACAAAAGCCACAUGGCUUUUGUUUGAAAGAUGGCUUUGGCUAUCACUCUGGGAUGGACCUGCGGUGCAUUAGCUAGUUGGUAAGGUAACGGCUUACCAAGGCGAUGAUGCAUAGCCGAGUUGAGAGACUGAUCGGCCACAAUGGAACUGAGACACGGUCCAUACUCCUACGGGAGGCAGCAGUAGGGAAUCUUCCACAAUGGGCGCAAGCCUGAUGGAGCAACACCGCGUGAGUGAAGAAGGGUUUCGGCUCGUAAAGCUCUGUUGUUGGAGAAGAACGUGC